rnacentral:rRNA from 1 species
AGAUUGAACGCUGGCGGCAUGCUUUACACAUGCAAGUCGAACGGUAACGCGGGGGCAACCCUGGCGACGAGUGGCGAACGGGUGAGUAAUACAUCGGAACGUGCCCAGUAGUGGGGGAUAGCUCGGCGAAAGCCGGAUUAAUACCGCAUACGACCUACGGGUGAAAGCGGGGGAUCGCAAGACCUCGCGCUAUUGGAGCGGCCGAUGGCAGAUUAGCUUGUUGGUGAGGUAAAAAGCUCACCAAGGCGACGAUCUGUAGCUGGUCUGAGAGGACGACCAGCCACACUGGGACUGAGACACGGCCCAGACUCCUACGGGAGGCAGCAGUGGGGAAUUUUUGGACAAUGGGCGCAAGCCUGAUCCAGCAAUGCCGCGUGUGUGAUGAAGGCCUUCGGUUGUAAAGCACUUUAGUGGAACGAAACGGUCCGGCUAAUACCUGACUACUGACGUACCGCAGAAUAAGCACCGGCUAACUACGUGCCAGCAGCCG